UCAUAUCAAUUCUGCUACUAC
rnacentral:piRNA from 1 species